GGAAUAUUGCACAAUGGGCGAAAGCCUGAUGCAGCAACGCCGCGUGAAGGAAGAAGGCCUUCGGGUCGUAAACUUCUGUCCUUGGGGAAGAAGAACUGACGGUACCCAAGGAGGAAGCUCCGGCUAACUAUGUGCCAGCAGCCGCGGUAAUACAUAGGGAGCAAGCGUUAUCCGGAUUUAUUGGGUGUAAAGGGUGCGUAGACGGGAAAUUAAGUUAGUUGUGAAAUCCCUCGGCUUAACUGAGGAACUGCAACUAAAACUGAUUUUCUUGAGUACUGGAGAGGAAAGUGGAAUUCCUAGUGUAGCGGUGAAAUGCGUAGAUAUUAGGAGGAACACCAGUGGCGAAGGCGACUUUCUGGACAGUAACUGACGUUGAGGCACGAAAGUGUGGGGAGCAAACAGG
rnacentral:rRNA from 1 species